GACAGUCUCAGUUCGGAUUGAAGGCUGAAAUUCGCCUUCAUGAAGCCGGAAUUGCUAGUAAUGGCAGGUCAGCAUACUGCCGUGAAUACGUUCCCGGGCCUUGUACACACCGCCCGUCACACCAUGAGAGUCGGGAACACCCGAAGUCCGUAGUCUAACCGCAAGGGGGACGCGGCCGAAGGUGGGUUCGAUAAUUGGGGUGAAGUCGUAACAAGGUAGC
rnacentral:rRNA from 1 species